GUCCUUUUCCCGGAAAAGCAGCAGGUCACGUGCUCCUCCCACCUGCCACCGAGAACUAAUUUGGGAUAAUUGAAGUCCAGGUGAGGCUGUUUGAGACACUGUGUUCGGCUUCAGGCCAUGUGCACGGCUGUUGUUCAGGCUUCUUGGCCUCAUGAACUCCUCCUGUGCAGGAAAAGGAGACGAAGCAGGAUGGAACAAAAACAGAUGAAGAUCUUCAAACUGAGUAGGGUCCUAACCCUAGGAGAGCGAGGGAAAAAAAAAGAUCGGUAAGUCUUAAAAGUUGCUUAGUCAACAACUCCUUGUACUAACAAAAUGGAAUUUCUAAACAUAUCGGACAAGCAUGAACAGAUCUCAUCUUUCGUAUCAAAGAGUGGAUUCCCAUAUUCGGAAGGGAAGUGCAUCCUAUUCUUUGCCAAAUGGAAUCUAUUGAAAAGGCAAGAAUUUAAAUGGCAAGUGUUGGACACGGACUCUGAGAACCUAUGUCUGGAUUCAAAAAUAACCACUUCCAUAGAGUAUUUCAAGAGAGGAAAAACACCUAAGACUGAAAGACCAAGGCUUUUGAUGAAAUGAGAUCUCUCAAACUGGAUUGCACUGACUGUCUUCAACCUAAAGAGUUGCCAAAUUGGAGAAACCAAAUUGCCUGUAAAUACUAAAGAAAUGUAAAAAUGUACUGAGAUGGUCUUGUUUUCCUUAAAGCUGAAGGCCAUUGCAUAAUUUAAAGGAUAUUCAUGUAUUUGCUGAAGGGAUUCUUUUAAUGCAGGUAUUAAGUCUGAUUUUUGGAUCCCAGGAUACAUCUACAGAUUCCAUCCUUCCAGAGAAAUGGAUGUAGGAAGGUUACAUCCAUAUAGUGGAAAAAGGUGGCAGACCAUCAAAGAUUGAAGAUCUGGAAAGUAGCUGGAAGCACCAUAGAUGCAAGAUGCGAAGAACGUCAAAUAACAAGGAAAUGUUCACUGGAUCUGGGAAAUAUUUUCAACUGCGGCAACUGGAGCGCAACCAUCAAGAGCCAGUGAAGCUGGAGUCUGUGGAAAAGGGACAUCUGCGUUUGCUGGAGACUCAAAGAAAAACUCCAACCAUUUCCGGCCACAGAUGAAUUCUUCAACUCCAGAGUAGUCUUGGGAAUUAAUACCUUGAAUGAAGAUGGCCACAGGACCUGCAAAACCUUCAAUUACAUACAAAUUUGCUUGCACCAAUGGGUUGAAUGAGCAGUGGAUUAGUCAAGUACAAUUUUAGUAUAAGGCCUGGUCAAUAAAUGACCAGGCCUUAUUGUGCCUUUAUUAUUUAUUUUUUUAUUUAAUAAAAAUCCAACCCUACUAGACCCAAUCGACGUCUUCCUCGGCAUUUGCUGGAUUAUUUUUCUCCGGCAUUUCCCUCAUUGACGCUGCUGUCCAAUGUGGCUGCUGUUGGAAAUAUCUAUCUUUCCAACCCCUGCAUCGGGCCAGAUGAUGUGAAUCUGCCAAUUUUUACUUUGAAUGCUGUCUGAAAGUUGAUUAUAAAGGAAUUGUUUUAAA